rnacentral:rRNA from 1 species
AUUGAACGCUGGCGGCAGGCUUAACACAUGCAAGUCGAGCGAGCGGCGGACGGGUGAGUAUUGUCUGGGUAACUGCCUGAUGGAGGGGGAUAACUACUGGAAACGGUAGCUAAUCACGCAUACCAUCAGAUGUGCCCAGAUGGGAUUAGCUAGUAGGUGAGGUACUGGCUCACCUAGGCGACGAUCCCUCGCUGGUCUGAGAGGAUGACCAGCCACACUGGCACUAAGGCACGGUCCAGACUCCUACGGGAGGCAGCAGGGGGGAAUAUUGCACAAUGGGCGCAAGCCUGAUGCAGCCAUGCCGCGUGUGGGAAGAAGGCCUUCGGAUUGUAAAGCACUUUCAGCGAGGAGGCGUUACUCGCAGAAGAAGCACCGGCUAACUCCGGGCCAGCAGCCGCGGUAAUAC